GAAGUUACUUAGUCCUGAACUCAGCGUGGUGCAAUGGUAUCGUCGCUCCCACUACACUUGUACAGCCCUCAAGCAGCGGCGCCACCACUCCGGUCGGAGCUCCGAAGGCUUCUAACCGGCCUCCUCUGCUGCUCCAACGUCCAGCAUUGCACUCCCUGUCGAGAGUCCGGAUGAGUGCCACCGCGACGAUCUCUUCUCUUGUAUGCGUCGGUGGCUGUCUUGCGACUGCUUGCUUCGAUAACCUGCUCCUGUGGUCGAUUCUUCCCUUUCCCAUCUCGAUCGGCAACAACCACAGCUUCCUCGCCCUCUUCUCCUCCUCCGAUUUCGGUCGAUCUUUAUCACUGCAGGAUCACAGGAGGCGAUUCCCACCGUUACUUUUUCAGCGGUGGUCGUUUUCCCUGUAGCACUUCCCUGGCGAACGGUAGCUGUCUUCCCCUGCUGCCGCAACAGUCUCUACCCUCAUCCUCCCGAUGAGCAGCUUCACCGCUCCUUAAAGACCGGCGGUCUACCCUUCGUCGUCACCGACAAGAGCGCCGGCCACGCCGUCAACUGCCAUGGGUUCCCAGAGUAUCGCCUCGGCGACUCCUUCCCCUGAACUCUUUCUCCGCCUCGUCGAGUUGCAUCCGACCCGACGUGCACUGUGGCAUUUGAAGCCGCAGCCACUCACAGAACUGCAAGCCGCAACCUCUCACAGAACUGUUGCGGUUAUGAGCUUCUCUUCUCCGUGGGCAAUGCUCCCAAAGGUGCACAGUCGAAGCCUCAGUUUCUACCGCCGACUGCUGCUCCCUUACCAACCGAAGUCUUUCGCUAAAAACUCUGCCGCCCUUCCGGCCACCAAACUCGGCUGCAAGCUGUGAUCUGCACCGAUCACAGCCGUCGUCGCUGCCUUGCCGUCAACUGCCACAAGCAUUACUGCAACAAUCUCCAACACUACAGAUUUCUCCAGCAUAACUGCAGAAAUCUCUCCUGCAUUACUGCAGAAAUCACUGCAACUCUCUCCAGUAUCGCUGCAUAUUUCUCCAGCAUCGUUGUAAAAAUCUCCCUGCAGAAAUCUCUCCUGCAUCGCUGCAGAAAUCUCUCGAGUGGCCAUCAGUUACACAAAUCACCAAGCCUACUGCGUACUCUUCCGUUGCAACUCCUAGUGAUUUGUGGCAUUAUCAUCUUAGUCAUUCCUAAACAGUAGCAUUAUAUCCCAUUGUGAUACUUAUUUAAGCAAUAAAAGUCAUAGACUCUUUUCCAUAUUAUGUUUUAAAUCUUUUGAAAUUAUUUAUAUUGAUGUUUAGGGUCCUGUUCCAAUCACUUCUUUUGACAAAUUUAGAUUUUAUGUUAUUUUUAUAGAUUAUUUUACCAAGUAUACAUAGUUAUACUCUCUCCAUCGUAAAUCUGAAGUUUCAAUAGUUUUUUAAACUUUAGACGUUUGGUUGAGAAUUUCUUUCUGUCUAUAAUCAAAAUAGUUUACUUUGAUGAUGGCGGUGAAUAUCAAGCCCUCACAUCCUGUCUCUUAGCUUGUGGUAUACAACACUAAGUCACCCCCACAUACUCUUCAACUAGUUAGUUGUGCUGAAUACAAACAUAAGCCACGGGUUCCCAGAGUAUCGCCUCGGUGACUCCUUCCCCUGAACUCUUUCUCCGCCUCGUCAAGUUGCAUCCGACCCGACAUGCACUGUGGCAUUUGAAGCCACAACCACUCACAGAACUGCAAGCCGCAACCUCUCACAGAACUGCAGCGGUUAUGAGCUUCUCUUCUCCGUGGGCAAUGCUCCCAAAGGCGACACAAUCGCAGCCUCUGUUUCUACC
rnacentral:lncRNA from 1 species